GGGCUAAUAUUAGAUAGAUAAAAGAUACUGGAAUGUUCUUUUAUCCAAAGCUUUUGCGCCUGAGGAUGGGCCUGCGUCCGAUUAGGUUGUUGGUGGGGUAAUGGCCCACCAAGCCUACGAUCGGUACGGGCAGUGAGAGCUGAAGCCCGGAGUUGGGGACUGAGACAAGGCCCCAGGCCCUACGGGGCGCAGCAGGCGCGAAACCUCUGCAAUGCGGGAAACCGUGACAGGGGGAUCCCAAGUGCUCAUGCAUUGCAUGGGCUGUUCUUUGGUCUAAGUAACCAGAGGAGUAAGGGCUGGGCAAGACCGGUGCCAGCCGCCGCGGUAAUACCGGCAGCUCAAGUGGUAGCCGCGAUUAUUGGGCCUAAAGCGUUCGUAGCCGGAUAAGUAAGUCUUUGGUUAAAUCCUGCGACUUAACCGUGGGAAAUCUAGAGAUACUGCUUGUCUUGAGACCGGGAGAGGUUGGAGGUACUCCCAGGGUAGGGGUGAAAUCCUGUAAUCCUGAGGGGACCACCUGUGGCGAAGGCGUCCAACUGGAACGGGUCUGACGGUGAGGGACGAAACCUAGGGGAGCGAGCCGGAUUAGAUACCCGGGUAGUCCUAGGCGUAAAUGAUGCGAGUUAAGUGUGGGGGCAUCUACGAGAUGGCCCUGUGCUGUAGGGUAGCCGUUAAACUCGCCGCCUGGGGAGUACGGUCGCAAGGCUGAACUUAAAGGAAUUGGCGGG
rnacentral:rRNA from 1 species